GAUGAACGCUGGCGGCGUGCCUAAUACAUGCAAGUCGAGCGAAGCGGGGACGGGUGAGUAACACGUGGAUAACCUCCUAUAAGACUGGGAUAACUUCGGGAAACCGGAGCUAAACCGGAUACUUAUACCUGGAUCCUCUCUGCAUUAGCUAGUUGGUAAGGUAACGGCUUACCAAGGCAACGAUGCAUCGCCGACCUGAGAGCGUGAACGGCCACACGGGAACUGAGACACGGUCCAGACUCCUACGGGAGGCAGAAGUAGGGAAUCUGCCGCAAUGGGCGAAAGCCUGACAGAGCAAAGCCGCGUGAGUGAUGAAGGUCUUCGGAUCGUAAAACUCUGUUAUUAGGGAAGCGGGACCUAAAGAGAAAGCCACGGCUAACUACGUGCCAGCAGCCGCGGUAAGAG
rnacentral:rRNA from 1 species